UACGGAGGAUGCGAGCGUUAUCCGGAUUUAUUGGGUUUAAAGGGUGCGUAGGUGGAUUGGUAAGUCAGUGGUGAAAGUUUGCAGCUUAACUGUAAAAUUGCCGUUGAAACUGCCGGUCUUGAGUGCAAAUGAGGUAGGCGGAAUGCGUCGUGUAGCGGUGAAAUGCUUAGAUAUCACGAAGAACUCCAAUUGCGUAGGCAGCUCACUGGGCUACAACUGACGCUGAGGCACGAAGGUGCGGGGAUCAAACAGGAUUAGAUA
rnacentral:rRNA from 1 species